ACAGAGGGGGCAAGCGUUGUUCGGAUUUACUGGGCGUAAAGGGCGCGUAGGCGGCCACCGCAAGUCGGUUGUGAAAUCUCCGGGCUUAACCCGGAAAGGUCAAUCGAUACUGCGGGGCUAGAGUGCAGAAGGGGCAACUGGAAUUCUCGGUGUAGCGGUGGAAUGCGCAGAUAUCGGGAGGAACACCCGUAGCGAAGGCGGUUCUCUGGGCCAAUACUGACGCUGAGGAGCGAAAGCGUGGGGAGCAAACAGGA
rnacentral:rRNA from 1 species